ensembl:lncRNA
ACAGAGGGAACAUCAAAUGAGAAACUGGGAAGAGAUAUGAAGUAGCGGGACCAGUUUUUCUAAUUUCUCAACAGAAAGCUCAACUGAUCAAAGAGAAGGAAGGAAGCAAUUUGCUGGGCUCCCAGGACACCAACGCAGAGCUACCUUCGAGCCGGCACUGUGUGACUGCAUGGAGACUGUCUGUGCCAGUGGGCCAGACCUAAAGAAGGAACUACCAGAGGAUGCUGAGGAUUCCUGCAUUCAUCGACAGAAGCAGUUUAGUGAGACAAAGGAACCGUAAGGCAGGAUAUGCAGUAACUGCUACUGAGCAGGUAAUCAGAGUACGACCGUUACCUGUAGGGACUUCCACUAAGAGGUCUAAAAUAGCCUUAAACGUAUGGACAGAUGCUAAAUAUGCAUUUGGGGUGGCACACACUUAUGGUACCAUCUGGAAAGAGCAAGGAGUGCUCACACACAGGGAAAACAAAUUGAGCACGGUGUAUAUCUACCAAAGAGCGUGGCUGUUAUACACUGUGAUGGACAUCAGAAAGGUGACACUGUCCAGGAAACUGGAAAUAUGAUAGGGAUCAGGUGGCAAAACAGGCAGUUGAAGGAAAAGAAAUAGCAGAACUGGCUGUAAUUCCAGAUGGUAAACUUCAAAUCUCUGAACCUGAGUCAGCCUGUGGAGCAUUUUAGAGGGGACGGGAAUCUAAUUAAUGAUUUAGAAGGGAAGAGAGCUAGCUGACAGAUGGGUGCGUACCCAGAUGGACGCGCUGUUGUGCCCUUUAGUACUUUAUGGAAGUUGGUUCUAAGGGAACCUAUUGAAACAUACUGAGGGGACAAACAGUAGAAAGUAAUUGCGCAAUCUAGUACCAGGAACAGGGUACAAGUGGGGCCUAUUAGGAAAGGGAACCUUCCAGGGCAACAAUGGCAAAUUGUUUUUGUUUGGAACUACCAGGAAAAAAGGAGGGUUUUGUUAUAUGCUAGUUCAAACCAAUACCUUUCCAGGGUGGCCAGAAGCAUUCCCUCUGCAAAGCCAAAGAAGUAGCCGAGGUAUUGUUGCAGGAGAUUAUUCCAAGGUUUGGGGUUAGCGCAACAAUAUCCUCCAACCAGGGAGCUCCCUUGAUUGUAAAGAUUGUCCAACAGGGCAGAAAUAGCUUUGGGAAACAGAGAAACUGGUUCUAGGAACAAGAGCCCAAGGCCUUGACAGCUUGAUAAAUCAUAUUUUACAAAGAGAUUAUGUGUAUAUAUUAGAUCUCUUUCAGACCCACCCCUGGAACCAAGCUGGGAAGGUCUGUUCCAGGUGCUGCUAACGUCCCACACAGCUGUCAAAGUUAAAGAACAAGCGCUGUGGAUGCAUUAGACUAGGGUCAGUAAGAUUCCUUGAACACAAUGGGAAUCGAAGUCAGCUGGACCUUUAAAACUGCAAAUCCAAAGACAGUAAAUAUGGGCUCUUGUAAUAGUGAGAAAUUUGAUAAGUGCGGCUUUUGAUGCAAAUGCUUAUGUAAAAAAAAAAAACCAAAAAGCUUUGCAAAGUAUGCCAGUCUCA